GUGCUCGCUUCGAUAGCACAUACGCUAAAAUUGGAAAGAUACAGAGAAGAUUAGCAUGGUCCCUGCGCAAGGAUAACAUGCAAAUUCAUGAAGCAUUUCAUAUUUUU